UACGUAGGGAGCAAGCGUUGUCCGGAAUCAUUGGGCGUAAAAGCGCGCGUAGGUGGCCCCCAUAAGUCCGCUGUGAAAGUCAAAGGGCUCAACCUUUGAAAGCCCGGUGGAUACUGUGGGACUAGAGUACGGAAGAGGCGAGUGGAAUCCUGGUGUAGCGGUGGAAUGCCGGCAGAUAUCAGGAGGAACACCAAUAGCGAAGGCAG
rnacentral:rRNA from 1 species